rnacentral:lncRNA from 1 species
UAUUAAAAGGCUUAGCUUAUAGCUUUUUCUUCAUGAUACUUAAGCUAUUAACAAUCCAACCGCUCCCCCCAGGCAUCUCACUUUAUCAUUUCUUUACCACCAUGAUAUGGGUACUCACUUAAUAUUUCACGGCACACAUUUAAUAUAAUGUCUAUAUACAUCCUUAAUAUAGCAUGGUACAUACUUAACAUAAAGUGGUACAAACUUAAUAUACCAAAGUACAUACUUAAUAUAACAUAGCACAUAGUUUAUAAAUAAUGGUACAUAGUUAAUAUAAUACAGUAAACGGUUAAAAUGCCAACAAUACCCCUAUAUCAAUUCUCAUUCUCAAUUUAAAACCAUUAUUGAGGGCCAUCAGUUAAUAUAUCACGUUACACACUUAAUAUACCAUAAUACACAUUUAAUAUACCAUAGUACAUAGUUAAUAUAACCAUAGUACACAGUUAAAAUACCAUAGUACACAGUUAAUAUAACAGUACAUAGUUAAUAUCCCCCU